GGAAAACAUAAAUUUUAUUAUAAAAAAAUAUAGUGAAAAAAAUAAUUUUUCAAGUUUUACUUAAAUUUUAAAAAAUUAAAAAAAUUAAUUUUUCGAUUCUUCAUUUAGAAAACUGACAUAUUUAAAUAUCAAAACUCUAUAUUUCAGUUUUCUUAUAAAAUUUUUCUAAAGUAUUUUAGUUUUCCACGAGUCUUAAAGAAUCUUCACUUCCUAACUACUUCCCAACAUCUCUACAAGUAACAAUUCUCUAUUUAAUCUUGUCCACUUGCUUAUAUAUAUAUAUAUAUAGUGUUAGAUUUCUUUAUAAUUUGUUGAAAGAAUGUAUUUGCUCACCUAAUACCUAACCCUAAAAAAAUUAAUUAAGAAUUCUAAAACCCAAAAGUAAUUGCAGAAUUUCAGGCCCUAUUGUGAUAUUGUUGACAUUCUCUAGUCAUUUUCUUCUCUAAAACUUUUCCUAGGCAGGUUGACUGCGUUCAAGAAAACAUGUACUGCCCUAAGACUCUCAAGUUAAAUUAGACUUUUAUUUUAUUUUUCAUUUUUA
rnacentral:misc_RNA from 1 species